AUUGAACGCUGGCGGCAGGCCUAACACAUGCAAGUCGAACGAGUGGCGGACGUGUGUGUAAUGUCUGGGACACUGCCCGAUGGAGGGGUAUAACUACUGGAAACUGUAGCUAACACCGCAUACCAACGGUUGUGCCCAGAUGGGAUUAGCUAGUCGGUGGGGUAACGGCUCACCUAGGCGACGAUCCCUAGCUGGUCUGAGAGGAUGACCAGCCACACUGGAACUGAGACACGGUCCAGACUCCUACGGGAGGCAGCAGUGGGGAAUAUUGCACAAUGGGCGCAAGCCUGAUGCAGCCAUGCCGCGUGUAUGAAGAAGGCCUUCGGGUUGUAAAGUACUUUCAGCGAGGAGGCGUUACUCGCAGAAGAAGCACCGGCUAACUCCGUGCCAGCAGCCGCGGUAAUAC
rnacentral:rRNA from 1 species